rnacentral:snRNA from 1 species
UUUGCUUCUUGACCUUUUGGCAAAGAUCAAGUGUAGCAUAUGUUUUUAUCAGUUUAAUAUCUGUUAUGUCCUCAACUUGAGGAUUUUAUAUUAAAUUAGUUUGGGGACUGGGAAAUGUACAAGGAGCUUAC